rnacentral:rRNA from 1 species
AGAGUUUGAUCAUGGCUCAGAUUGAACGCUGGCGGCAGGCCUAACACAUGCAAGUCGAACGGUAACAGGAAACAGCUUGCUGUUUCGCUGACGAGUGGCGGACGGGUGGGUAAUGUCUGGGAAACUGCCUGAUGGAGGGGGAUAACUACUGGAAACGGUAGCUAAUACCGCAUAACGUCGCAAGACCAAAGAGGGGGACCUUCGGGCCUCUUGCCAUCAGAUGUGCCCAGAUGGGAUUAGCUAGUAGGUGGGGUAACGGCUCACCUAGGCGACGAUCCCUAGCUGGUCUGAGAGGAUGACCAGCCACACUGGAACUGAGACAUGGUCCAGACUCCUACGGGAGGCAGCAGUGGGGAAUAUUGCACAAUGGGCGCAAGCCUGAUGCAGCCAUGCCGCGUGUAUGAAGAAGGCCUUCGGGUUGUAAAGUACUUUCAGCGGGGAGGAAGGGAGUAAAGUUAAUACCUUUGCUCAUUGACGUUACCCGCAGAAGAAGCACCGGCUAACUCCGUGCCAGCAGCCGCGGUAAUACGGAGGGUGCAAGCGUUAAUCGGAAUUACUGGGCGUAAAGCGCACGCAGGCGGUUUGUUAAGUCAGAUGUGAAAUCCCCGGGCUCAACCUGGGAACUGCAUCUGAUACUGGCAAGCUUGAGUCUCGUAGAGGGGGGUAGAAUUCCAGGUGUAGCGGUGAAAUGCGUAGAGAUCUGGAGGAAUACCGGUGGCGAAGGCGCCCCCUGGACGAAGACUGACGCUCAGGUGCGAAAGCGUGGGGAGCAAACAGGAUUAGAUACCCUGGUAGUCCACGCCGUAAACGAUGUCGACUUGGAGGUUGUGCCCUUGAGGCGUGGCUUCCGGAGCUAACGCGUUAAGUCGACCGCCUGGGGAGUACGGCCGCAAGGUUAAAACUCAAAUGAAUUGACGGGGGCCCGCACAAGCGGUGGAGCAUGUGGUUUAAUUCGAUGCAACGCGAAGAACCUUACCUGGUCUUGACAUCCACGGAAGUUUUCAGAGAUGAGAAUGUGCCUUCGGGAACCGUGAGACAGGUGCUGCAUGGCUGUCGUCAGCUCGUGUUGUGAAAUGUUGGGUUAAGUCCCGCAACGAGCGCAACCCUUAUCCUUUGUUGCCAGCGGUCCGGCCGGGAACUCAAAGGAGACUGCCAGUGAUAAACUGGAGGAAGGUGGGGAUGACGUCAAGUCAUCAUGGCCCUUACGACCAGGGCUACACACGUGCUACAAUGGCGCAUACAAAGAGAAGCGACCUCGCGAGAGCAAGCGGACCUCAUAAAGUGCGUCGUAGUCCGGAUUGGAGUCUGCAACUCGACUCCAUGAAGUCGGAAUCGCUAGUAAUCGUGGAUCAGAAUGCCACGGUGAAUACGUUCCCGGGCCUUGUACACACCGCCCGUCACACCAUGGGAGUGGGUUGCAAAAGAAGUAGGUAGCUUAACCUUCGGGAGGGCGCUUACCACUUUGUGAUUCAUGACUGGGGUGAAGUCGGAACAAGGUAACCGUAGGGGAACCUGCGGUUG